rnacentral:rRNA from 1 species
UACGGAGGGAGCUAGCGUUGUUCGGAAUUACUGGGCGUAAAGCGCGCGCAGGCGGUUUUUCAAGUCAGUGGUGAAAGCCCGGAGCUCAACUCCGGAAAUGCCAUUGAAACUGUUAAACUUGAGGAUGAGAGAGGUGAGUGGAAUUCCCAGUGUAGAGGUGAAAUUCGUAGAUAUUGGGAAGAACACCGGUGGCGAAGGCGGCUCACUGGCUCAUUACUGACGCUCAGGCGCGACAGCGUGGGGAUCAAACAGG